rnacentral:hammerhead_ribozyme from 1 species
AUUCAGCUGACGAAUCUCAAUUAAGAUGAGACGCGUGUCUUGGAU